GACGAACGCUGGCGGCGUGCUUAACACAUGCAAGUCGAACGGUGAAGGGGUCUGCUUUUGUGGGCCCUGGAUGAGUGGCGAACGGGUGAGUAACACGUGAGUAACCUGCCCCCUUCUUCUGGAUAACCGCAUGAAAGUGUGGCUAAUACGGGAUAUUCUGGGUCUGUCGCAUGAUGGGUCUGGGAAAGAUUGCGCCUUUGGGUGUUUUUGGUGGGGGAUGGGCUCGCGGCCUAUCAGCUUGUUGGGGGGGUGAUGGCCUACCAAGGCGGUGACGGGUAGCCGGCCUGAGAGGGUGGACGGUCACACUGGGACUGAGACACGGCCCAGACUCCUACGGGAGGCAGCAGUGGGGAAUAUUGCACAAUGGGCGCAAGCCUGAUGCAGCGACGCCGCGUGAGGGAUGGAGGCCUUCGGGUUGUAAACCUCUUUCGCCAGUGAAGCAGGCCUGCUCCUUGUGGGUGGGUUGACGGUAGCUGGAUAAGAAGCGCCGGCUAACUACGUG
rnacentral:rRNA from 1 species